AUGCAGUUAGUAACGAGCGGUCGUAUUGCGGUGAACAUUAAUGGGGAGAUCGGGCCCUACUUCACGACUGGCCAAGGAGUAUGGCAGGGUGACCCGAUCUCCCCUUUUAUGUUCAACCUUGUGGUCGAUGCUCUGGCUUCGAUCCUAGACUUGGCCAAGCGAGCCGGCCACAUCAGGCAGAUUUGCCCCCAUCUUGUCCCCAAUGGAGGUUUGACCCAUCUCCAAUAUGCUAAUGACACCAUUACGAUGAUGGAAGGCUCGGACGAGGACAUCCAGAACCUCAAGUUCCCCCUCCUCUGCUUUCAGGAGAUGUCAGGCCUCACGAUUAACUUCGCGAAAAGCAAGGUGAUGGUCCUUGGAUAUUCCUUGGAGGAAGCUCAGCGAAUUGCCAAUUGCUUGAAUUGCCGCUUGGGGUCCUUCCCGACGACUUACCUAGGCAUGCCAAUUAGUGACACGCGUCUACUGGAGAAAGACGUCCGCCCAAUAAUCGCCAAACUCCAACCUCGGAUGGAGCCUUGGCAGGGGAGAUGGCUGUACAAAGCCGCGCGAGUGAUUUUGAUGAACUGCUCCCUUAUUAGCCUAUUGAUGUAUGUCAUGGGAUUCUAUAGUCUACAUGAAUCCCUACAUCACGAGGUCACCAAACUCCUCUCCAGAUUCUUCUGGGCUGGAGAGAACAAUAAAUAG
rnacentral:rRNA from 1 species